rnacentral:lncRNA from 1 species
ACAGAAGACGAAGAGCUGGAAUAGAGCUCGCCUCGGCUCUGCUGGCCUUGGCUGCAGCUCUUCCAGAAACCCGGGGCGCCCACAGAAGAAUCUCUUACCUGGCUCUCUCUUCAGGGAUGACAUCAUCGGCUCACACCAGUCUUCCAGGACCACCUUCUGGAUGCCAAGGCUGCUGCUCGAGUACCUGCUGUGCACCUCUACCUCCUGGUACCCCAGCCACUCCCUCAAGUUGCCUGCAUGUUAUAUGGCCUAGCCAAGGAGCACGGAUUCCAGGAACCCACUACCAUACAGAGCAACUCCUUGUGGACCCCCCUGGGAUCAGGACAGCGAGGGACAAGCGACAAAGAGGAUCAUCAGUGGCCAGCUAGUUUCUCUGGGGUUCAAACCUUGAACCAGUGCCCUAGUGAGGGGGCACUGGCCAUGGCCCUUGACCUUUGCUCUGCUUGUGUCUUGAGUCUGAGCCCUUUCCUGUACAUCUGUGCUCGUGUUCAUCUGCUAGUGAACUGGAGUGCUGCCCUCCCCGAGGAGGGUCGUCCCUUGUGACUGAUCAUGCUGUCCUAACAAUGUCCUGAGCAAAAGGGUCCCUUUGGGAACCUCUCAGGAGGGGGACCCGGGUCAGGGGCGACCAGCAUCUUGCUGGCAACUCCGUGGGUGGGGUGGGGUGGGGUGCUUCCUUCUGGAAUGAGCACGUGGCUGACCCCCCAAGGCAUGUCCCCUCCCCCUCCUCCACCCACCUUCUCGGAGAUGUCCCUUUUGGGGUAGUGGGGACAUUAGGAGCAACCUCCUAGGGUUGUUGUGAGAAUUAAAUGAACUGCAGCAGCCUGAGGCAGGGCUGGGCAGAGACCUCAGCACAUGUUUGUUGAAAGGUUUGCAGGUGGAUCUAGUCCUCCCGUUCAUGGCUCAUGUGUCUCAACCAUUCUCUCGCAGACUCCUGCAGCCCCUAUGCCCAGGGCUCUCCUUGCGCCAGCCCCGGCUUCUCGAGGCCUGUCUACACUCGCUGCUUUCCUUCCUCACCUCCAAUUUCCCCUCCAACCCACUGCUUCCUGACUCGCUCUUCUCCAUCGAACGGCUCUCGCUCAGGUUUAAGGCUUGGCUUGCUGGCCCUGGAGAUCCCGUCGCCGUCUUCGUCGAACUCGAAAUCCUAGCCAUCGUCCUUCCCUGGCCUGUCGCGUCUUCCUGUGCCAUUUGCUGUUGUGCUCAGGUUCCACGAGCUGCCCAUCUCCACAGAAGAGCAGCUGGCAUUGCCCACCGGCCAUGCCGGCUGAAGAAAAGAAGACUGAGGACCCCAGGAUGCCCAGCGCGAGGACCCCAGGAAGCCCAGCGCGAGGACUCCACCCACGACGCCCAGCGCGAGGACUUCACGCACAACACGUUGCAACCCUCCUGGAUUAGGCCUCUACAGCCACGGGGACGCCUUGCACAUUUCCUGUGGGACAUGCUGGACCCAAGACUCUGGACCCUGGCCUCCCCUUGAGUAGAGAGACCCACCUACUGACUGAUGAACUGCGCUGACCCUGGGGUCAGGCAUGUGGCCUUGAUCCCUACCCAUGGACCCUGAGACUUGGGGGGGUGGGAGAAAGGCUGUUGUGUCUUCACUGUUGAGUCUACAUCUGUGAAAUGGGCUCAGGUUCCUACCUCACAGGGCUGUUGUGAGGCAGCCGCAAUGUGCUUAGAAGCAUGGGGCCUAGUGGCUCAUGGUGCUUUCAAUAAAUUUCUUGUUUUAACUAAAGCA